rnacentral:misc_RNA from 1 species
UUCGUCAGCUACAUCGAUACAUCCCCCUUCACCUAAAAGAAAAAUAAUAAUCUUGAAAAUCCCAAAUUAAUUCUCUUUUUUCUGACUGUAGCAAACCAAGAAUCUACAGAUUUCACUCAUUUUUGACUCACUUGUGGUGAUCACUGAAUUAGUUCAGAGGAAAAAAAAAAUGCCUGCUUGGUGGGGGAAAAAAUCCACCAAGAACAAAGACCUGCAAGCUAAAGAGAAAGAAAGGGAGAAGUAUGUAAAACCCAGAAGUUUUGAUGAGUUACUUAGUAGAAAUUCACCAAGAACCAGUAAAGAUUUUAGUGGUUCUGGUUCUGGGUUUUCUGGGUUUGAUUCAGGUUCUUCUUUGGAGAAAGCUCAUCCUUUGCCUAUGCCUUCUGUUUCUUCACUGGGAAAUGAUCAUGGGGUUGUUUUAGGAUGUGGGUCGGUUUCAGUUUCCAGUACUAGCUCAUCUGGGUCAUCUGAUGGCGGUGGUCCUGUAAAUACUGAUCAAGCUCAGUUGGAUACUUUCAGAGGACUUGGAGAUAAUAGGUUGAGCCCACUGUCACGAAGCCCAGUUCGUUCCAGAGGGACAACUACCACAUCAUCACCUUUACAUCCUCGGUUUUCGAGUUUAAAUCUGGACUCUUCAACGGGCAAGUUGGAUGAUGUAAGGAGUGAAUGUCAUCAGCUGCCCCUUCCACCCGGUUCUCCACCCAGUCCUUCUGCUUUGCCAAACCCAAGACCUUGUGUUGUGGCUGAAGGCGCAAACGUUAAUAUGUCAAAAUGGAAGAAAGGCAGGCUCCUAGGAAGAGGCACGUUUGGUCAUGUGUAUCUUGGAUUCAACAGGGAGAAUGGACAAAUGUGUGCGAUAAAAGAAGUCAAGGUGGUUUCAGAUGAUCAAACAUCCAAAGAGUGUCUUAAGCAACUGAAUCAGGAAAUCAUUUUACUCAGUAACUUGACACAUCCAAAUAUUGUUCGAUAUCAUGGAAGUGAACUGGAUGAAGAAACUCUAUCAGUUUACUUGGAGUACGUUUCUGGGGGUUCUAUACAUAAACUGUUGCAGGAAUAUGGGCCUUUUAGGGAGCCAGUUAUACAAAACUACACAAGACAGAUCCUUUCUGGCCUUUCCUUUUUACAUGCUAGGAAUACAGUUCACAGGGAUAUAAAAGGAGCCAAUAUACUAGUAGAUCCUAAUGGUGAA